rnacentral:rRNA from 1 species
CAGCAGCCGCGGGAAUACAGAGGGUGCGAGCGUUAAUCGGAAUUACUGGGCGUAAAGCGUGCGUAGGCGGCUUUUUAAGUCGGAUGUGAAAUCCCUGAGCUUAACUUAGGAAUUGCAUUCGAUACUGGGAAGCUAGAGUAUGGGAGAGGAUGGUAGAAUUCCAGGUGUAGCGGUGAAAUGCGUAGAGAUCUGGAGGAAUACCGAUGGCGAAGGCAGCCAUCUGGCCUAAUACUGACGCUGAGGUACGAAAGCAUGGGGAGCAAACAGGAUUAGAUACCCCAGUAGUCCCUGUCUCUUAUAC